rnacentral:tRNA from 1 species
AGGAUUAUAAUUUAUAAUUAAAAUAUUUGAUUUGCAUUCAAAAAAUAUUGAGUAAUCAAUUUAUCUUA